UACGUAGGGUGCGAGCGUUGUCCGGAAUUACUGGGCGUAAAGAGCUCGUAGGUGGUUUGUCGCGUUGUCCGUGAAAACUCACAACUCAAUUGUGGGCGUGCGGGCGAUACGGGCAGACUGGAGUACUGCAGGGGAGACUGGAAUUCCUGGUGUAGCGGUGAAAUGCGCAGAUAUCAGGAGGAACACCAGUGGCGAAGGCGGCUUUCUGGACGGUAACUGACGCUGAGACGCGAAAGCGUGGGGAGCAAACAGG
rnacentral:rRNA from 1 species